rnacentral:lncRNA from 1 species
GUUUUAUCAAAUUCUUUAACCUCUUGUGACCCAUUACUUGUUAUUGCAUAUAUGAAGAAAUUUAUUUCUUCUUCUCUUGUUGUGCAAUUAUAUAAAUAUAAAAGUGGAAUCCUUUUCCAGAAAAUUCUAAAUAGAACUCUAUAAUGAUUGUAUAUAUAUAUAUAUAUAUUUUUUUUCUCACAAUAAAACUUCAUUUUCAAUUUAUAUUUAAGUUAUAGUGGGAGUAUUUAAAACCUUACUCUAAGAGUUCUAUUCUGGAUAAAAUACAAAACUAUUUUACACACUUUUAUUUUAAAUAAUAACUCCUGCUAUCAUACUCUUUCGUAUAUAAAUUCUAAAGUCAUAUUUAUGAUGUGCUAAUUUAAAAUACUUUUAAGCAUGUCUUUCUAU